rnacentral:tRNA from 1 species
CCCUGGCUAGCUCAGUCAGUGGAGCAUGUGACUCUUGAUCAUGGAGCUGUGAGUUCAAGCCCCACACUGGGUG